GAUGAACGCUGGCGGCGUGCCUAAUACAUGCAAGUCGAGCGAACGGACGAUAAGCUUGCUUCUCUGUUGUUAGCGGCGGACGGGUGAGUAACACGUGUAUAACCUCCCUAUAUGUCUGGUAUAACUUCGGGAAACCGGCGCUAAUACCGGAUAAUCUUUUGAACCGCAUGGUUCAAUAGUGAAAGACGGUCUUGCUGUCUCUUCUCGCUGCAUCCGCGCUGCAUUAGAUAGUUGGUACGGUAACGGCUUACCAAGGCAACGAUGCAUAGCCGACGUCAGAGAGGGAUCGGCGACAUGGGAGCGGAGACGGCGACAAGACGACUAAGGGAGGCAGCAGAAGGGUAUGGGACGCAAUAGGCGAAAGUAUGACGGAGCAACGCCGAGUGAGUGAUGAAGGUCUUGGGAUCGUAAAAAUGUGUUAUUAGGGAAGAACAGAUGUGGAAGGAGCUGAGCAGAGAGUGACGGUAACGAAUCAGAAAGCAACGGCUAACUACGUG
rnacentral:rRNA from 1 species